AACGAACGCUGGCGGCAUGCCUAACACAUGCAAGUCGAACGAAACCUUCGGGUCUAGUGGCGCACGGGUGCGUAACGCGUGGGAACCUGCCCUUAGGUUCGGAAUAACUCCCCGAAGGGGGUGCUAAUACCGGAUAAUGUCUUCGGCCCAAAGAUUUAUCGCCUUUGGAUGGGCCCGCGUUGGAUUAGCUAGUUGGUAGGGUAAAAGCCUAUCAAGGCGACGAUCCAUAGCUGGUCUGAGAGGAUGAUCAGCCACACUGGAACUGAGACACGGCCCAGACUCCUACGGGAGGCAGCAGAGGGGAAUAUAGGACAAGGGGCGAAAGCCUGAUCCAGCAAUGCCGGGUAAGUGAUGAAGGCCGUAGGGUUGUAAAGCUCUUUUACCCGGGAUGAUAAUGACAGUACCGGGAGAAUAAGCUCCGGCUAACUCCGUG
rnacentral:rRNA from 1 species